rnacentral:lncRNA from 1 species
UAAUAUCACUUUAGAUCUAAUUUUUUCUUAUUUGAUCUGAUUAUUUAUGAUUUAGGUUAGAUCUAAAUUAGUUUAUUUUUAGAUGUGAUUAUUAUCUGUUUAAAUUAGAUAUUCUGAGUAGCCAAGUACUCAGAUUGGGUAAUCAUCAGGCCAUCCGAUCAUAGGAGCAAGUAGAGUUUCAUGACCCUCUCCUCCCAUUCAAUGAGAUGCUCU